rnacentral:rRNA from 1 species
CCAGACUCCUACGGGAGGCAGCAGUGGGGGAUAUUGCACAAUGGGGGAAACCCUGAUGCAGCGACGCCGCGUGGGCGAAGAAGUAUUUCGGUACGUAAAGCCCUAUCAGCAGGGAAGAAGAAAUGACGGUACCUGACUAAGAAGCCCCGGCUAACUACGUGCCAGCAGCCGCGGUAAUACGUAGGGGGCAAGCGUUAUCCGGAUUUACUGGGUGUAAAGGGAGCGUAGACGGUCCUGCAAGCCAGAUGUGAAAGCCCGGGGCUCAACCCCGGGACUGCAUUUGGAACUGUAAGGCUAGAGUGUCGGAGAGGCAGGCGGAAUUCCUAGUGUAGCGGUGAAAUGCGUAGAUAUUAGGAGGAACACCAGUGGCGAAGGCGGCCUGCUGGACGAUGACUGACGUUGAGGCUCGAAAGCGUGGGGAGCAAACAGGAUUAGAUACCCUAGUAAGC